rnacentral:lncRNA from 1 species
AUGUUCUAAAUAACAAUGAUAAAAAUUAAAAUCUUGUUAUUCCUAAUUAUUUACUUACUAACUACUAACUAAUUAACAAACAAGGUGGGGAAAAGAAAUUAAACAAAGAAAUUAAAAAAAAAUGAAUAACGAAGAUCAAAUCUGUUUUAAAAGAAAAGAAGAAAAUAAAAUGUAAAACAAAAAGUAAAGAACAAAGGCCUAAGCUAAAUUGCAAAAUAAGAACUGCAAGAGCAAAUACCAAUAUAAAAGAAAGACUACAAUGCCCUAAAAUCAAUCCUAACAACUAUUGGAUAUGCAAAAACAUCUUAACCUCUAUUAACCAGAAAUACCAAAAAUAAAGGAACAAAGCAAGAAACACUAGUUAGAAUAGAAAUUAGAAUCAAAUUCAUGUGGAUUAGUGCAAAUAAUGUGUG